CACUGGCUACCUGCAGGAAGUGAUCUGGUGAGGACUCUGAUGCUGGAGGAGAAUCUUUAUCCAUCCUGGAGACAAGUCGAGCAAGCAGGAGGCUGCAGAGGCAGGAGGCUGCAGCACCACGAUCAAAGCCCUGCCAAUCAGAUCACUGUGCUGCUGCGGACGACCGAGUGAAAGAUAUUGAACAGACACCAGAAUGUAUCUAAUGCAAAACCCCAUGGAUUACGAAAGGGCAGCCUUCUGAGAAGAAUAUCAAAUAAGGGAUGUCAUGUACACGGUUAUACCCUCUCCCCUGCACCCACCAAAACACAUACAAUGGAAUACAGUUUGGAUUUCUGUAACGAGCAGCAUCGCAGGGUGCCGCACGAUUUUAAACCCAAGACCGGGUAAUGGGAGAAUCACCUCGGCUUUCUCCAAUGUGAAGCAAAGCGUUUGAGACGUCCUGGAGCCCCUCCCUGAAGAAAUCAAACCUUCCAGCAGCCAGAGUUAAUAAAAUAGGAUGCUUAUUUAGCUGAAUCCUAAUUGUAAUUGCUGAAUGGAGAUCGGGGGUAGGCAGGUUCUGUUAUGUCAUUAUGGGGUGUGAUGUGAUGCUUUGUAUCAGAUCGGGGGUAGGCAGGUUCUGUUAUAUCAUUAUGGGGUGUGAUGUGAUGCUUUGUAUCAGAUCGGGGGUAGGCAGGUUCUGUUAUAUCAUUAUGGGGUGUGAUGUGAUGCUUUGUAUAAUUUUAAGGAAUGAACAGUAUGUCACAUUUGAUAAGAGCAUUACUUGGAACUGAUUGACUGUGACAUUGUUACUCUGUAACCUCGAGCAUGCCUUUGAAAAACUCCAGCGCCUAUCCUGGGGCUCAGCAUUUUAAAUAAACAACAUGUUAGAAAAAAAGAAAUAAACACAACAGCAAACGCAUAGCCAGAGAACUCUAUAGUACAGCAUGGCAAUCUCACGAUCAUUGUGCACAUUGUGCACCACUGUCCAUUUUAAACCCUGAAUUGCCUUCCUCACAAAUGACCCUGCUCUUGUCCAUAUCAGUAUUGCAGGGACUGUUACACAUGAAACACACUAAAGGACAUGCCUGCACAACCCCCAUACAUUAUACAUAUGAAACACACGCCUGCACAACCCCCAUACAUUAUACACAUGAAACACACGCCUGCACAACCCCCAUACAUUAUACACAUGAAACACACGCCUGCACAACCCCCAUACAUUAUACACAUGAAACACACGCCUGCACAACCCCCAUACAUUAUACACAUGAAACACACGCCUGCACAACCCCCAUACAUUAUACACAUGAAACACACGCCUGCACAACCCCCAUACACUAAGUGCACUUUGGACCGAGUUCAGUCAACACUGAGCUCUGAAAAGCGUUCUGUACACAGUGCUAAUGUGGAGAGCAUGCAAUGAUGGCUAACGAUGGCCACUCAACAGCUUGCACCUGCAUUCACAAUGUGUCUAAGCUACCUUCUCUUUGGAAUGACGGCGCUGUUUCAGUGAGAAUCACUUUGGGAUUUUGGAGUGAAAGGAACUGUUUGCCUAUUUCUCAUUGGCUUGUUGCUCCCAGUUACUUCAUGUUAGCAUUUGGUAUUCAUUGAAUAUUUUACCAGCAGAACUGUUUAGUAGUUGGUGCAAGGGUUGUGCUGAACUGGUUUCUAGGAAAUAGGAAUCCCUAUCAGUCUAGACAUAGGAGUGAAUUCUGAUCACAGGAUUCAUUUGCUAUGGCUGUUAUAGAUGUUUAGUAAAAGGUUAUUGCUUGCAUGCAAAAGCAUGUAUUUCACCUAAAGAGUUAUGCAGUGCAGUCUGUUAGCUGCGUGCUUCAGUGCAACACUGGCGCCAGAACAAUCAAUCCGCUUUUUG